GCGCCGCGGUGGUGCGGUGCACCUGCUCGGCCUGCUGUCGCCGGGCGGGGUGCACAGCCACACCGAGCAGAUCAUCGCCGCUUGCCGGGUGC
rnacentral:tRNA from 1 species